GAUGAACGCUGGCGGCGUGCCUAAUACGUGCAAGUCGAGCGAACAGACGAGAAAUUGGUUCCUGACAGACAGGGGAGGGCGGGAGGAGUAACACAGGGCUAACCGACAGAAAAACCAGGAUCAAUUCGGGGAACCAGGGGCUAAACCCGAUAAAUAUUUUGAACAGCAGGGGGAAAUAGUGAAGAAGGCAUUUGAACCAAACUAUCAAAUGAUCCGGGCCGCAUUUGCUAGUUAGUAAGGGAACCGCCUACCAAGGCGACGAUGCCUAGGCGACCUGACGGUGUGAUCAGCCACACUGUGACGGACACACGGCCCAGACUCCUACGGGAGGCAGCAGUAGGGAAUCUUCCGCAAUGGACGAAAGCCUGACGGAGCAACGCCGCGUGAGUGAUGAAGGUCUUCGGAUCGUAAAACUCUGUUAUCAGGGAAGAACAAAUACGUGAGUAACUAUGAACGCCUUGACGGUACCUAAUCAGAAAGCCACGGCUAACUACGUG
rnacentral:rRNA from 1 species